rnacentral:ncRNA from 1 species
UUCAAAGCAUUGAACAAGCGAGUAGUUGUGGAAUCGCGGCAUAGAGAAAAAGUGAAUUGCUGCAAGCUUUACGCGACACACAAUGAAGGUAACUUGGGAGCUGUUACUUUGAAAUCUAGGUUGUUUAAGUUAGUUUUUAUUGCUAAUUUGAUCUAGAAGUGGUUGAAAAAGUUGCUUUUUCAACCAUUCGAGUAGGAGUAGCCGGUAGAUAGCCGUUAUAAUCAAUUAAGUGGCGCAGUAUGCGCAAUUUAGGUGGUACCGCGAAUAACAGCAUUCGUCCUAUUG